AACGUAGGUGGCGAGCGUUAUUCGGAAUCACUUGGGCUUAAAGGGCGCGUAGGCGGGCGAUCAAGUCAGGGGUGAAAGCCCCCAGCUCAACUGGGGAAGUGCCUCUGAUACUGGUCGUCUCGAGCGAGGUAGGGGCGUGCGGAACUUCCGGUGGAGCGGUGAAAUGCGUAGAUAUCGGAAGGAACAUCGGUGGCGAAAGCGGCGCGCUGGACCUCUUCUGACGCUGAGGCGUGAAAGCCAGGGGAGCGAACGGG
rnacentral:rRNA from 1 species